CUCUUCCGACUACAAGCAAUCCUGCACAGACAACAUCAAUGCCAGGCAUUUCAAGCCCAACUCCUGCAUCUUCUACUCCUACGACUACAAGAAAUCCAGCACAGACAACAUUAUUGCCUGGCACUUCAAGCCCAACUCCUGCAUCUUCUGCUCCUCCGACUACAAGCACUCCUGCACAGACAACAUCAGUGCCAGGCACUUCAAGCCCAACUCCUGCAUCUUCUGCUCCUCCAACUACAAGCACUCUUGCACAGACAACAUCAUUACCAG
rnacentral:lncRNA from 1 species